GUCUGAUGUCUCCGUCGCUGCCUCUCCGCAUCUCUGAGUCUCCCUGUACUUCCAGCGUGUUGCCCCGGCUGGAGAGACACGUUGAUGGAGGCGGCCGUGUGUGUCAUCCCUUGCCUGUAUCCUCUGGCGUCCAGAGGCGCGUAAGUGGAGAGCAUCGGCGCAGCGCGGGAGCAGCACGUCAGGGUGUAGGGUGUUUUUUUAGCUGGUGUAGGGUGUUAGGGUGUUAGGUGUAACAACGGUUGGCUCUUUCACAGAACGGGUGUGAUUCCGUUCUGCGUUUGAGUCUUCCACCUUCGGGCGGUCUCCCUCCGAGAUGUCCGAAGUUUUUUUGUCGGUUUCCUCCGUAGGAGGAAGCCGGCUCUAGCUACUCUGGUCUCUCUUCCGGGGGCCAGAGCGGUCGGGCUCUGCUUGGCCAGGCGUUGCCUUUCGCGUUGUCUCCGCCGAAGUUUUGCCAGACUCUUCCGUAAGGUUGAGCCUGGCUUUUUUAUUAGGUGGAUCAGGCUGCCUUCUUCCAAGGAGUCUGAUGGGAGUGGAGUCUUUUUUUUGGUGUAUGUCUGUGGGUGCUCAGUGGGUAAGGGAGGGUGGGGUAGAAUGGUUGGUGGGCUGGAAGUGGGUUGGGGGAUGAACCCUCUGGGAUUUGGGUUGUGUCGAGCCUUACCGCCUGGUGUGUUGGGUAAACCUUCACGCCAGGGGGGGGGUGCCAAGACCAUAUCCAUUUCCUGGGGCAGGGCGAUUCCCCUUUCCCAUGCUAACUGGCCCUCCUCCGUCUGCCUCCCCAAACCCCCGCUGAGUGCUUGUGUGUGUUAUUUUAUUUAGGAUGUCUUUUUUUUGUAUGCCUUUUUCCCGUGUGUUUAUACCCAAUAGCUAGCGUGUGUGUGUGUGGCAGUCCGGAGGCGCGUGCAGCGAGGACAUCACAUCACGUCACUACGGUAUAUCCACGGUAUUUGGUUUAGUGUGUGUGUUUGUGUGUGUGAUGGCAGGCCUGCCGUGUGUUUGACCUUUUGCUGUGUGUUGCUGUGUGACUGCUAGGAUUUCAUUUCUAUGUAUGUUUUUUUCCCCAUAACCCCCUUCCUCCCUAGCUCUUUAGCUGUUGUCCCUGGCUAGGCGCUGGGUGGAUGCUGCCGGGCGACCAACGGCGGUGGCGGUGUGCAACGCGGGAGCGGCUGAGGUUUGGGUAGCACUACGGUGCAGGUUAUGUAGGGUGUGUGAGUUUUUUUUUUGUGUGAGUGUCUUUUUUUUGUGUGUGGGGUGUUGGCGGGGGACUUAGCUAAUCACUGUGUCAGGAAGGCAUAGGCGUGGCCGUCUGUCCAUCAGGCCGACGGGCGGGUGUGCCACCUGGCAGUCAGGCUAGCAGGUGACAGGCAAGCUAUCUGGUGGUCAGGCUGGCAGUCGGGCCAUCAGAUAGGUAGGCAGGCCACCUUGCGGUCGGGUUGUCGGGCGGGCACGCCACCCUCGGUCAGGUAGGCAGGCAGCAGCGUCUACGCUGAGCCGUACGGCUACACGUACGAACGCACGGAACCCGUACGCUACGUUCCGCUGCACUGACGCUCGUCGUACCUCUGCUCGCACGCUUGCGGGCGGGUAGGGGGCGGGGGGCGGAUGGGCGGACGGGCGGGCGUACGUGGGAACGGGCGGGCGGACGGGUGGUCGGGCGGGUAGGGAGUCGGAGCAACGCUUGAAAGACGCGCAGAUAGAUGUCAGAUUCUCCCGUAGGGAGGUCUGGCAAGGUGAUAGUGUGGGCGGCGGGGUUUUACGCGGGUGAGUCUGUGUUAGAGCUCUGCCGCCAGGGCAGCUCCUUCCGAGCUGCCUGAACUGAGGACCAGUUUUCCUCACAGGAGGAGGCUGGUGGGGCUUAGGGUGUUAGGGGUACAACGGUUGGCUCUUUCACAGAACGGGUGUGAUUCCGUUCUGCGUUUGGGUCUGCCGCCUUUGGGCAUCUCCCUCCGAGAUGUCGGUUAGGAUUUCUUUUUUUUAUAUGUCCGUGUGUGUAACUGUUGCCUUUUAGCCUGUUGUGUUCCUGAGCAGCAAGAAGAGGAGGCUGUGGUGACCCGCCCGAUGCGGAAGGCUUCUGGGCCCUCUCGGCGGGGGCGCACCUCUCUGGCUGACUGGUUAAGGGAGGGCUUCCCGUCUGGCCGGCUGUAGGUUCAGUCCCAGGAUUGAACCCAUGGCUUGCCAGAUGGGGGGCUGCGCCUGUGACCAGGAGGCCGGGGAGGCGCCCCCUCGCUGGGCAGAGUCUGGGGGCCCUCCGUCUUGGGGAGGUCGCUGCAGCAGGAGGAGUAAAGAACAGGCAACAAGAAACCUCCACGGCCGAGCUUCAACAACAGAACACCUCGUCACCGUUGAUGAGGCUCCACGCCCCGGACCACAGCCAUGUUAGCCUCGAUAAUAGUCCUCGGCGCACUUAUUCUGAGACGUCCUGGCUGGAGAGCUACACAACACCGGUCAUCCGCUGAGUGGUUGAAUUCCUGGUCUACCGGCCCCUGGAGGAGUGGUCGAUUGCCUGGUCUACUGUGGAUAUGAGUGGUUGAUUCCCUGGUCUACCCCUGGAUGACGCAGCUGUUCCUAUGCAGGGGAAAACUCACACAAGCGAUAAGCACCUGUCGGACCUGGAGACUCCCCCCUGAGCCUGACGGUGGAGCUGUGGGCCCUGCACCAGACCCCCACACCCCCCCACACCACCCACAGCAGGGGCAGGGCAUUGAGACUCCCCCCACAGGCUAAGACAGGGAGGGACUUUAAGAUCCAGGUUUUUGUCAUCUGCACAGGAAUUGACACGUGACCCGCUGCGUGUUCUGCUGGAGAAAAACACUGCAUGACUGUUGUUGGGAGAAGACACAGCAUGAAGGCUUCCAGGAGCUGCAAGACAUCCUUGUGGUCAGGGCGCCUGGUCAUUAUGAUGGAGCGUCGGCAGAGAUCGAGCUGGCGGAAGGUUGGCGGCCGGGUCAAGCUCACCACCGACAAGGAUUUCCGUGACGUGCGCUCGGCCAAUGUUGUUGACCUCGGCUAUGACAAUCUUACUAAGGUGGUGGAGGUGGGGAACGGCAUCUACAUUGACGACGGACUCAAGGAGAUCCCUGAGACUACUACUACUACUAUUACUAUUGCUAUCCUCUAUACUGCUAUGUGUACUAUUAAAUCCUCUUUACUGCUA